AACGAACGCUGGCGGCAUGCCUAACACAUGCAAGUCGAACGAGACCUUCGGGUCUAGUGGCGCACGGGUGCGUAACGCGUGGGAACCUGCCCUUAGGUUCGGCAUAACUCCCCGAAAGGGGUGCUAAUACCGGAUAAUGUCUUCGGACCAAAGAUUUAUCGCCUUUGGAUGGGCCCGCGUUGGAUUAGCUAGUUGGUAGGGUAAAAGCCUACCAAGGCGACGAUCCAUAGCUGGUCUGAGAGGAUGAUCAGCAACACUGGGACUGAGACACGGCCCAGACUCCUACGGGAUGCAGCAGUGGGGAAUAGUGGACAAUGGGCGAAAGGCUGAUCCAGCACUGCCGCGUGAGUGAUGAAGGCCGGAGGGUUGUAAAGCUCUUUUACCCGUGAUGAUAAUGACAGUACCGGGAGAAUAAGCUCCGGCUAACUCCGUG
rnacentral:rRNA from 1 species